CUCAUGAGGUCUCAGUUUUCUCAUCUGGAAAAUGAGAUAGUUGGAGUUGAUGGUCCCUUCUAGCUUCAGGGUUCAUUGAUAGCGCUCCUUGCCAAAAGAACUGAUUUGAAAUCACAGAGAACAAGAGCUGGCAUACUGUCAAUGGGUAAUAAAUGCUUAAUCAAUGGAUAAAUAAAGUUUUGAUCUUCAGUUCUUUCCGAGCUGAUCCUGAAAAUUCCAAAGUUUAAGAUAAAAUCAGUUCAGAAAACCCUAUUCCUUAACCUUCACUGACUUGACUUCUCCUUAGGGGCUUUCUGCAUCUUUAAGCCUGGUGAGAGAAAGAUAUCAGCUCUGCAGAAACACUGGGAUUCACAUUUCAAGUUAUGAGAUGGCAGUUGAUGGCUGCAAGUACAUAGACACACAGAGAUGCAGUGGUCCCCUCUUCUCGCCUUUUGCAGUUUCCCCGCACAGCCUGGCACUUGCGUUGGCAUUUGCUGUCUGAGUCUGGCUACUGACUAGAGUCCCACCCUCACACAGACCUCAGGUAUCUGGGCCUCCCUCCGCGGCUGUGAAUCAUCAGAGGUGCUGAGUCUUCUCCCGCUUUGAGUUACUGGCAGAGGUGUUGUUUCUUCCUAAAAGUGGAGGGAGAGAGUUGCUAAGAAACACACUAACGUGCUGAUGACACAACAGUCUCCGAGAGCUUGGGCCUCCAACGUUUGCCUCUAAUCAGGAAAUCAUUUUUAGAAGGAUUUGUUGGUGUAAGAAAACAAGCUCCCGAACUAAAUUAGGAUCUGGAUUAUUUUUUCCUCCUCUCCCAAUCUGCCUCACACGGCAGAUUGGUGAGCCCUCACGAUUCUGUGCGUGGCGAAUUUGUUUCUGUUGCACAUUUUAAUUCAGAGCUCCGGAAGGUGAAGGUGUCUGUGUUUCUAAGGACUGCGUUUUUUGGAGCAGCUCCCUUGGAGGUGUGGGGCUCGCCUCUCCUUUCCUCAAACCAGUUGGCUUUCUUGGCAAGGUGGCCCCGGUUUCAGGAUUCUUUAAUCUGAUUGUCUUUUUCUUUUUUUUCCCCCUGCCAGUAAUGAAUGCACCGCGUGUCUCUGGGAAAUUAAGACAUUCCAUGGAGUGGAGAAGUGCCCAUCAGACUGCAGUAUGAACCUAUUUUAGGGAUCAGAAGAAA
ensembl:lncRNA